UUUCAGACCGCAUCGAACUCCUCCUUUCCGCCGCCGCCGCCGCCGCCGCAGCCAUUCAUGGCGAGGCGCCGCCGGGGAGGAUUCGAACAUUAAUCCAUGCUAUUCCCCACCCGUCCCUGUAAAUCCCAAGCUCCUGCCGCCGUAGCUGCUAUCUGCAGCCUCCGCCUCCCCUCCUCAUCGCCGGCGCUUAUCCCUCCCCCGUAUCACGACGACAACCCAUUCGCCUCACUACUUACUUCCGAUCCCCCUCCGCCGGAUCCGCUCCGCCAGGUUCUCGCCACGGGAGACGUCCACGGCGCGCUCCGCGGCCUCCCUGGCCUCGCUCGCCAGCUGUUCCGGUGGGCGGAGGGCACCCCGCACGGUUUCCCCCGCUCCGCCUCCGCAUUCGCCGCCGUCCUUGUCCCGCUCGCUGAGGCCAGGAGCAACCGCUCCGCUUAUCCCGUCUCCCUCCGCGCUAUCCAGGCUGGCCUUCUCCUUCCCCUCAUCUCUCUCCUCCUCACGUAUCCCCUGUCCCCCUCCUCCCACCACCUCCUCAACUUCCUCUUACGCAUGUCCACCAAGUUUGUGCCCGAAUGCCAAGCUCAGGACCCUGCGCCCACCAGCUGUUCGACGCAAUGCCUUUCCGCCUUCCAAGAGAUGGCGCGUCAAGGUGUCGCCCCUUAUGUCAAGGUGUGCAACUGCGUGCUCUCUGUGCUGUGCGACGCGGCCAUGUGGGACGACAUGCGUGCUGUGUAUUCAGAUAUGCUUCAGCUUGGGGUUGAGCCAUCCAUUGUCACAUACAAUACAUUGCUGGAUUCUUUUUGUAAGGCAGGGAGGAUCGAUCAGGCUGUCAUGCUGCUCAAGGAUAUGGAGGCCCAAGUUGCUGGGUGCUUGCCGAAUGAUGUCACCUAUAAUGUGGUGAUCAGUGGGCUGGCCAGGAACGGUGAGCUGGACAAGGCGGCUCAACUGGUUGACAGAAUGCGGUUGUCCAAACAAGCGUCAGCCUUCACAUACAAUCCACUUAUCAGUGGGUUGUUAGCAAGGGGUUUUGUUGAAAAGGCUGAUGCUUUGCAGCAGGAGAUGCAGAAUGAUGGCAUUGUGCCAACGGUGGUGACAUACAAUACAUUCAUUCAUGGGUUAUUUAAAAGAGGGAACGUGGAGGCGGCAGAGUUGAAAUUUCUGGAAAUGAGGGCAAUGGGGUUGCAGCCAGAUUUGAUUACUUACAAUUCCUUGAUAAAUGGACAUUGUAAGUCAUGUAAUUUGAAGCAGGCACUUUGGUUGCUUGGUGAUUUGAGACGUGCAGGGCUAGCACCAACAGUUAUGACAUAUAACAUCCUUAUAGAUGGCUAUUGUAGAUUAGGUAAUUUAGGGGGGGCUAUGAGAUUCAAGGAGGAGAUGAGAGCAGAGUGCUGCCUGCCUGAUGUUUGUACAUAUACUAUUCUUAUGAAUGGGUCAUGUAAGGUCAAGAACAUUGCUAUGGUAAGGGUGUUCUUUGAUGAAAUGCUGAGUAAGGGUUUAAAGCCAGACUGCUUUGCUUACAACACAAGGAUUUCAGCAGAGCUGACUCUAGGUGCUAUUUCCGAUGCUUUUCAGUUGAGGGAGGAGAUGAUGCCGAGUGGAAUUUCUUCCGAUACAGUUACAUAUAAUAUUCUUAUUGAUGGACUGUGCAAGGCUGGUAGCCUGAAAGAUGCCUAUGUGUUGUGGAUGAAGAUGGUCAGUGAUGGUUUACAACUUGACUGUGUCACAUACACUUGCUUGAUUCAUGCACAUUGUAAGCGGGGGCUUCUAAGGAAAGCAAAUAAUAUUUUUCGUGGCAUGGUUGCAAGUGGUUUGUCACCCUCGGCUGUGACCUAUACCAUUUUUAUUCACACAUACUGUAGGGUGGGAGAUCUUGAUUCAGCAUAUGGCUGGUUCCGGAAGAUGCUGGAGGAAGGAGUGGAACCUAAUGAAGUAACAUAUAAUGUGCUCAUGAAUGCACUAUGCCGGAUAGGGAGAACUGAAUUGGCUUAUCAAUAUUUUCAUGAGAUGCUGGAGAGAGGAUUGUUGCCAAACAAAUACACAUACACUUUGUUGAUAGACGGGAACUGUAAAAAAGGUAACUGGGUGGAGGCUGUAAGGUUGUACUGCGAAAUGCAUCAGAAAGGUAUUCAUCCAGACCAUUGUACACAUAAUGCCUUGUUUAAGGGAUUUGGCGAAGAUCACAUGCACGACACAAUUCAGUACUUGGAGAAUGUUGUUUUGGGUGCAUAGGAUGGUCUUCAAGAAAGGAUCGUCUUAGCCUUGCUUGGUGGAAAACUCUCAGAUGACAGAUGGAAUUUGGGGUGACACUCUGGAUAAAGGAGCUUUGUGAUUUCCAGACAGAUAACACAAACAGAUUGUGGAGCGGCUUGGCAGGAGGGGACUGCCGACCUACGACAACUGCAUUCUGCUCAUUACACUGUGAAACCACCGAUCACCUUUUGACCGGUUGUGGAGGAAUUGCUGCCUGGAGAGGUCUACAAGCCUGCACUCCAACGCUAGGGUGUGAAUUCGGUCCUUGGUGGAUUGAGAAACAUGAGGGGAUUCAACGCCUUUGUCCUGUUGAUAGCCUGGACAAUUUGGAUUUUUUUUUGAUAUGGUUUCCAGUGAAAAAGCCUAGCCUGUUAAGCAGCUAGUGAGGACAGUCAAAGACUAUAAUGCGCUAGGUGAUGUGAGGCUGGCUAUAGCGAGAUGAGAAAGGCUGCUUGUUCGUGGUGGUUUAGCAGAAAUUAUUUAGCCUUCCCUAGCUAGCCAUGCUUCCAUACGGUCUGUUUUUUUUUCUCUUUCUUUUACCGUUUCUUCCUGUGGCUUGCCUUUCUUCCUGUGGCUUGAUUCAAUCCAAAUUCGGCAGUUUGUUGCUUGGUUUGGGGCAAAGUUGUAAGUGUUGUUUCCUAUCCUAAUAUAAUGUCACGCAGGCCUACUGCAUGUUCUCUAAAAAAGAGAGCUUAGAUUUGCAGUGCAAACCUGUUUAAUUCA